UAGAAAGUUUAGGCAUUAUAGUUGACGC
rnacentral:piRNA from 1 species